GAUGAACGCUGGCGGCGUGCCUAAUUCAUGCAAGUCGAGCGAACAGACGAGGAGCUUGCUCCUCUGACGUUAGCGGCGGACGGGUGAGUAACACGUGGAUAACCUACCUAUAAGACUGGGAUAACUUCGGGAAACCGGAGCUAAUACCGGAUAAUAUAUUGAACCGCAUGGUUCAAUAGUGAAAGACGGUUUUGCUGUCACUUAUAGAUGGAUCCGCGCCGCAUUAGCUAGUUGGUAAGGUAACGGCUUACCAAGGCAACGAUGCGUAGCCGACCUGAGAGGGUGAUCGGCCACACUGGAACUGAGACACGGUCCAGACUCCUACGGGAGGCAGCAGUAGGGAAUCUGCCGCAAUGGGCGAAAGCCUGACGGAGCAACGCCGCGUGAGUGAUGAAGGUCUUCGGAUCGUAAAACUCUGUUAUUAGGGAAGAACAAAUGUGUAAGUAACUAUGCACGUCUUGACGGUACCUAAUCAGAAAGCCACGGCUAACUACGUG
rnacentral:rRNA from 1 species